UGCGAGUGAAGCGGGAAAAGCUCAAAUUUAAAAUCUGGCGGUCUCCGGCCGUCCGAGUUGUAAUUUAGAGAAGCGUUAUCCGUGCUGGACCGACUAUAAGGCUCCUGGAAUGGAGCGUCAUAGAGGGUGAGAAUCCCGUCUUUGACACGGACUACCAGUGCUUUCUUGAUGCGCUCUCGACGAGUCGAGUUGUUUGGGAAUGCAGCUCAAAAUGGGUGGUAAAUGCCAUCUAAAGCUAAAUAUUGGCGAGAGACCGAUAGCGAACAAGUACCGUGAGGGAAAGAUGAAAAGAACUUUGGAAAGAGAGUUAAACAGUACGUGAAAUUGUCGAAAGGGAAACGGUUGCAGUCAGUCGCGUCCGCCGGGGAUCAACCUUGCUUUUGCUUGGCGUAUUUCCCGGUGGAUGGGUCAGCAUCAGUUUUGACCGCAGUUGAAAGGCUGGAGGAAUGUGGCACCUUCGGGUGUGUUAUAGCCUCCUGUCAUAUGCUGCGGUUGGGACUGAGGAACUCAGCACGCCGCAAGGCCGGGAUUCCUCCACGUUCGUGCUUAGGAUGCUGGCAUAAUGUCUGUAACCGACCCGUCUUGAA
rnacentral:rRNA from 1 species